GAAUUAUACACCCAGUUGGAAGCAAGGAAAGAAGCCAUGGAAACCCUGGAACAAUCCGAAUGUCUGCACAGCACAGAAACAAGCACUUUGCUUCUCCACAAGACAACGUAUUCCCCUCACCACCUGGACAGUCUGCUUCAGGCGCUUUCUACUUUGAAGAAAAAUAGGGAAAGCCAGUAUUGUCUCCUUCAAGAGUUUCAAGAACACCUCACUGCCCUUGAAUCCUCAAUGAGAGCCUCGUUGGUGGAGAGGGAAAGUCUGAAAGUGGGACCCCUGGACAGUGAAACCUAUCUGGACAAAAUUAAGAAAUUACUGGAAUCAAUAGAAAAGGACAAAAGUUGUUUAAUCAAGGUGAAAAUCCAAUGGGAGACGUUAUCAAGCCAUUUGGCUGACGUGGAUAAGAAGCUGUUGGACAGCCAGAUGAAGCAGCUGGAACACAGCUGGGAACGAGUGGGACGCCUGGUUCAGAAGAAGUACUCUCAGCAUGUAGUAGAAUGGAGUGAAUUCAUCUCCCUCAGGAAUAAGAUCCAUGACACUGAGACUUCUCUGCAGCAGCAGCAGCAGCNNNNNNNNNNNNNNNNNNNNNNNNNNNNNNCGGCAGCAGCAGCAGCAGCAGCAGUGGCCCUGCUCUGAGCUCAGCUCUCCAGAGGAACAGGAUGGGAGCCCAAACAUCGUGGCACUGGCUGCUGAGCUGCAGGCCACCAAGCAUGGAUUUGCUGCUGUCAGGAGUCGAGCUGAACUUCAGAUGAAAAGGAUUUGGGGAGAGAAAGAAAAGAAGAUUUUGGAAGAUGCAAUAAAUAAUUUGAAGAAGCAAUUGGAAGCCUUGGAGCCAUUAAACCUAGAGGUGGAAAGUCAGAUUAAGAAGUGUGACAUAAAGAAGAAGAUGAAAGAGACUCUCCUGUGGGUCAGGAAUCUGUUGGGUGAACUCAUGCCCCCCAUUGCCCUUCUCCCCAACGACAUCCUUUCACAGAUCAGAAAAUGCAAGGGGACGCAUGAUGAAGUUCUGGACAAGCAGCAGGCCAUAGAGUCGCUGGCCAAGGAGGUUAGGGCUGUCAUUCCUAGCCUCACUGCAUCAGAGAGAGAUAAUUUAAAUAGCAUCCUAGAGGACUUACAGAACCAGUACCAAAUGCUAGUUUUAAAAUCAACUCAGAGGUCACAGCAAUUAGAGUUUAAGUUGGAAGAAAGAAGCAAAUUUUUUGAAAUGAUGGGGAAAGCUCAGCUGGCACUUCAAGGACAUGAAGCACUGAUAAUUCCCAAGACGGAAGCGGCCCCCACAGAAGCCGAACUAGAACAACGCCAGGCCACUCUGAAGACAUCCCAGAAAGACCUACAGGAAGUUGAGAGUACAAUCUCAGCACAUCUUCGGGAACUAACAAACAUCUCUGAGGAUCUCAGUGUGUUUGAAAGAUUAUUUUUGGAUAAUCAUUUGAAAAAUCUGGAGACUAGAGUGAGCAGGAUUCAGAGAUGCAUUCAGAGUAAAUGUAAUGAAGUAGAACACAAGAUAAGUUCUUACAGAGAAUUCCAUGAGAGAAAAUCCAUGCUUCAGGAGGAGGUUGACAGUGUACAGCACAAUGACCUACUGCUGAAUCCAAAGAUAAAUCAAGAUGUUAAAGAGGAGCUUCAUAAUCUUAAAGACAGACUUGCUGGCAUUCGAUGUAGCAUCUUACAAAUGCUGAAACUUAGAGAAGUGUUUGACCAUAUAGGACUCAAGUGGGAUGACUCACAGCUUGAUCAGUUACAAACCCAAGUGUUUGAAAAAGAAAAAGAACUUGAAGAAAAAAUUAAGCAGUUGGACGUAUUUGUGGCAGAACAUGGCAAGUAUCAAGCAUCACUAAAUCAAAUGAGGACUAUGGAUUUGCAAAUUAAGAAAAAGGCUGAAUUAGUACUGAAGUCUCCUACUCCUUCACAAGAAAGCAGUCUGCUCAGUGCUCAAAUUUUGAUUGAGAAAACUGAGAAAGCCAAGUGCUUAUAUGAUGACAUAAUUAAGAAAUUAAGUGAAAAUAAGGCAUUUGAUGAUUCAUUCAAAGAGAAAGAAAUAGUCCAACUAAAGGUGGCGGCAGAAGAAAAUGAUAAGUUGCACAGGGUUCUCCAAAACAUGGUGCUAGAAUUCCAGCCAACAGAAGUAGAUGAAAAGCAUUUUCAGGACAAACUGGAAAAUUCCUUACUUGUUUUAAAUCAGAUAAAAUCUCAACUAGAGCAACCUUUGCUUAUAAAUUUGGACAUUAAUCAUAUUCAAAAUGAGAAGGACAAUUGUGAAGCAUUUCAAGAAAAGGUUCAUGCUGAAAUGUAUAGUAUUAAAGCUGUGACUGUUACUGAGAAGCAGAAAGAAGAAAACUCUUCUUUUGAAACUAGAGAUGUGGAGACAAAAUUGCAGGACGUUGAAGAUCUUCACAUGCAGCUUAGCAAAAGCAUUGACUUGUGCACAAAUGUCUUGAACAGUGCUUCUGAGAAUCUAACGUGCUACAGAGCAGCAGUCAGUGGGGCCGUGGAAAUCCUCACUUCCCUUGAAGCCAUGUUCUCAUCCCGAGGAGUGGACCUGCAUGAUCCAGAGGAGUCACUAGCCAUGUCUCGUUAUAAGCAAGAGGAAUUGGAAUCCACAAUAGCAGUCAUCGAGGACCUCACUGAGAAGUUGGGAUCUAUAUCCAGCCCUGAGGCCAAAAUGCAACUUCAGCACACUCUCCAGGACCUGGAGUCUAAGAGCUUGACCUUAAGGGAGGCAGCCCAAGUAAAGAAAGCAGAAAUGGCCAGGUGUCUGGAGGAUUACAAAUGCUAUAGAAGCACUAAAGAAGAAAUCUGUGCUCAUCUCCAGAAACUGGAGAGCACUCUCAGGCUGUCCAUGUCCUCGCUGCCAGUGUCUUACAAAGAGGCUUUGACACGCGUGGAGCAGAGCAAGGGCCUGGUGUCUGACCUCCUGUCCACCAAGGAAGAGUUGACCAAGCUGCGCCAGGUCUCCCGGCACCUGGGACGCAGAUGCGCUGAAAGCGACAGAGUGUGUGUGAGCAAGACCUUGGUGGUGCUGUGGGAGAGGUGGCUCCACCUGCUGGAAGCCGCCAAAGAGUGGGAGAUGUGGAGUGAAGACCUGAAGCAGGAGUGGAAGUUCAUCAGCGAGGAAGUGAGUGCCGCAUUUCAACACUCGGACCCCACGGUCUCCAGACAAAUGUUAUGGCAGUCAGUCCCUUCCCUUAGUUUUGGUAUAAAAUGAGGCCAGCUGGGCGUGGUGGCACAGACCUGGAAUGCCAGCUACUUAGAAGCCUGAGGCAGGAGCUCAAAAGUUUGAGGCCAGCCCGGGCAAUUUAGCGAGGUCCUGUCUCAAAGUUUUUUUCUUUUCCGGUGUUGAGGAUGGAACCCAGGGCCUUGCACAUGCUAGGCAAGCAGGCUACAUCCCCAGUCCAUGAGACACCAUCCCAAAAUUUAAAAAUCAUAAAAAAGGCUGGGGAUACAGCUCAGCACUUCCUAGGCUGUAACACACCAAAAAUAAGUCUGUAACUUGUACCAUUUGUGUACAUCAUGUAUACAGUGGUACCUUAGUUCAAGAACUUAAUUCUUUCCACAAUUCUGGUCUCAAACCAAAUUGGAUGAGAACCGAAUCAAAUUCAGUGGUUAGGUUCAAUGUUGUUCACCUUAUGGGAAAAUUUGAUUUGGUUCUCAUCCAGUUUGGUUUGCAACCAGAAUCAUGGAAAGAAGUUCAUGAACAGAGAUACACAUAAGUGUUUAUAGAGAUCAAGCCCCAUUAGAAUAGUCACCAAGACAUUAUUGUGGUUCUUUCAUGAUAGUGGGCUUUUUUUGUUUAUAUUUUGGUACCGGGGAGUCGAACUCAGAACCUUGCACUUGCAAGGCAGGCGUGGUGCUGCUGAGCUAAAUCCCUGGCCCUCAUGAUAGUGGUUUCAAAAAUACAUAUAUCAGAUAAUUCUUAAAGAUAGGUGACUACUAGCUGGUUGGAGUUUUAAAAUCUUUAUUGUGAAGAUAAGUUCUUAAAAAACAA
rnacentral:lncRNA from 1 species